CCAGACUCCUACGGGAGGCAGCAGUCGGGAAUAUUGCGCAAUGGGGGAAACUCUGACGCAGUGACGCCGCGUGCAGGAAGAAGGUUUUCGGAUUGUAAACUGCUUUAGACAGGGAAGAAACAAGACAGUACCUGUAGAAUAAGCUCCGGCUAACUACGUGUCAGCAGCCGCGGUAAUACGGAGGAUGCGAGCGUUAUCCGGAUUUAUUGGGUUUAAAGGGUGCGCAGGCGGAGGUGCAAGUCAGCGGUCAAAUUGCGGGGCUCAACCCCGUACUGCCGUUGAAACUGCAUCCCUUGAGUGCGCGAGAAGUAUGCGGAAUGCGUGGUGUAGCGGUGAAAUGCAUAGAUAUCACGCAGAACUCCGAUUGCGAAGGCAGCAUACCGGCGCGCAACUGACGCUCAUGCACGAAAGCGUGGGUAUCGAACAGGAUUAGAUACCCUAGUAAA
rnacentral:rRNA from 1 species